CAACCUUCAUUGCGAGUCCUCCGAUGUCAGCCCAUCCCUCACCUCUCACCGCCGCUGUGGCCGCGGCCGAGGUUUCCUGACGCGCCUACAACGACUGCACGUACCCCAGGGCAUCACAAGCCGUCGCCCUCUCCACUACAUCAGCUGAUUAAUCUUGGCCGCAGAAUUCGUUCACCCCCGGGUUCGUCUGCAUACUUACAACCCACUCAAGGUUCAAGGACACCCUCACCAGCAUCCCCUCGCACCAGCCGCAGUAUUACAGGCUCAAAAUCAUGAUGUUGCGUUUUCUGACCAUCUUGUUGUCCCUCGGCUCCCUGCUUGCAACAACACCCAUCCACCUGAAGCCUGGUGCCCUCACGGCACACAUAGGAGAGGUCUUCCUCAUAGAAGAUGUGCUCCUCGUAAAAUAUCCAUAUACUUCCUUGACCAACACCACGGACACAAUCAGGAUAGUCUCAGAAAAACUACUCGGCAUGGCAGACGCCAUACGGGCUACCACGACUAGGGAAUCAAAGGCACCUUCUAGUACCAACUCUCUGACUCUUUUUCAACUACUGGAGG